rnacentral:rRNA from 1 species
GACGAACCCUGGCGGCGUGCUUAACACAUGCAAGUCGAACGGAAAGGCCCUGCUUUUGUGGGGUGCUCGAGUGGCGAGCGGGUGAGUAACACGUGAGUAACCUGCCCUUGACUUUGGGAUAACUUCAGGAAACUGGGGCUAAUACCGGAUAGGAGCUCCUGCUGCAUGGUGGGGGUUGGAAAGUUUCGGCGGUUGGGGAUGGACUCGCGGCUUAUCAGCUUGUUGGUGGGGUAGUGGCUUACCAAGGCUUUGACGGGUAGCCGGCCUGAGAGGGUGACCGGCCACAUUGGGACUGAGAUACGGCCCAGACUCCUACGGGAGGCAGCAGUGGGGAAUAUUGCACAAUGGGCGGAAGCCUGAUGCAGCAACGCCGCGUGCGGGAUGACGGCCUUCGGGUUGUAAACCGCUUUCGCCUGUGACGAAGCGUGAGUGACGGUAAUGGGUAAAGAAGCACCGGCUAACUACGUGCCAGCAGCCGCGGUGAUACGUAGGGUGCGAGCGUUGUCCGGAUUUAUUGGGCGUAAAGGGCUCGUAGGUGGUUGAUCGCGUCGGAAGUGUAAUCUUGGGGCUUAACCCUGAGCGUGCUUUCGAUACGGGUUGACUUGAGGAAGGUAGGGGAGAAUGGAAUUCCUGGUGGAGCGGUGGAAUGCGCAGAUAUCAGGAGGAACACCAGUGGCGAAGGCGGUUCUCUGGGCCUCUCCUGACGCUGAGGAGCGAAAGCGUGGGGAGCGAACAGGCUUAGAUACCCUGGUAGUCCACGCUGUAAACGGUGGGUACUAGGUGUGGGGUCCAUUCCACGGGUUCCGUGCCGUAGCUAACGCUUUAAGUACCCCGCCUGGGGAGUACGGCCGCAAGGCUAAAACUCAAAGGAAUUGACGGGGCCCCGCACAAGCGGCGGAGCAUGCGGAUUAAUUCGAUGCAACGCGUAGAACCUUACCUGGGUUUGACAUGGAUCGGGAGUGCUCAGAGAUGGGUGUGCCUCUUUUGGGGUCGGUUCACAGGUGGUGCAUGCCUGUCGUCAGCUCGUGUCGUGAGAUGUUGGGUUAAGUCCCGCAACGAGCGCAACCCUUGUUCACUGUUGCCAGCACGUUAUGGUGGGGACUCAGUGGAGACCGCCGGGGUCAACUCGGAGGAAGGUGGGGAUGACGUCAAGUCCUCAUGCCCCUUAUGUCCAGGGCUUCACGCAUGCUACAAUGGCUGGUACAGAGAGUGGCGAGCCUGUGAGGGUGAGCGAAUCUCGGAAAGCCGGUCUCAGUUCGGAUUGGGGUCUGCAACUCGACCUCAUGAAGUCGGAGUCGCUAGUAAUCGCAAAGCAGCAACGCUGCGGUGAAUACGUUCCCGGG